rnacentral:rRNA from 1 species
CCUUUUGUAUAAUGGGUCAGCGACUUAUAUUCUGUAGCAAGGUUAACCGAAUAGGGGAGCCGAAGGGAAACCGAGUCUUAACUGGGCGUUAAGUUGCAGGGUAUAGACCCGAAACCCGGUGAUCUAGCCAUGGGCAGGUUGAAGGUUGGGUAACACUAACUGGAGGACCGAACCGACUAAUGUUGAAAAAUUAGCGGAUGACUUGUGGCUGGGGGUGAAAGGCCAAUCAAACCGGGAGAUAGCUGGUUCUCCCCGAAAGCUAUUUAGGUAGCGCCUCGUGAAUUCAUCUCCGGGGGUAGAGCACUGUUUCGGCAAGGGGGUCAUCCCGACUUACCAACCCGAUGCAAACUGCGAAUACCGGAGAAUGU